rnacentral:rRNA from 1 species
UGCCUUUAGUACGGCGAGUGAAGCGGCAAAAGCUCAAAUUUGAAAUCUGGUACCUUCGGUGCCCGAGUUGUAAUUUGGAGAGGGCAACUUUGGGGCCGUUCCUUGUCUAUGUUCCUUGGAACAGGACGUCAUAGAGGGUGAGAAUCCCGUGUGGCGAGGAGUGCGGUUCUUUGUAAAGUGCCUUCGAAGAGUCGAGUUGUUUGGGAAUGCAGCUCUAAGUGGGUGGUAAAUUCCAUCUAAAGCUAAAUAUUGGCGAGAGACCGAUAGCGAACAAGUACAGUGAUGGAAAGAUGAAAAGAACUUUGAAAAGAGAGUGAAAAAGUACGUGAAAUUGUUGAAAGGGAAGGGCAUUUGAUCAGACAUGGUGUUUUGUGCCCUCUGCUCCUUGUGGGUAGGGGAAUCUCGCAUUUCACUGGGCCAGCAUCAGUUUUGGUGGCAGGAUAAAUCCAUAGGAAUGUAGCUUGCCUCGGUAAGUAUUAUAGCCUGUGGGAAUACUGCCAGCUGGGACUGAGGACUGCGACGUAAGUCAAGGAUGCUGGCAUAAUGGUUAUAUGCCGCCCGUCUUGAACCCCCGAAACCCA